AAAUACUGAUUAAAACAUUUUCAAAUGAUUUAUUCCCAUCGGUAAAUACAUGCAGGAACUUGAAAAGACAACCGCAGAAGUAACCUCCGAAGUAACGCCAGAAGAGUCGAAACAAAAACUGAGCAGCCCGCCUUCGGAUACUGGAACGUACUUGAGCGUCCAAGGGUUCGAAAAAAGAUGGCUCGACAUAAUAAUGUUCAAGGCGGCAAAAAAGAAAAUGUUCAAGAAAAUGUACUUCAUGUUUUCAGUGCAAUGCUUGUUCUACUUAGUCCUAGCCCUUUUGUCUUAUUUGGUCGAAGAGGUGAAAGAGUUUUACGUUAGGAUGUCACCGUUCCUCGUGAUUCUCUUCCUGUCGACAAUAUUCAUACUCAUGCUUUUCUCGCUCAGCUCAAAACUAAGGAAGGUGUACCCUUUGAACCUUCUUGCCAUUUUGGUCAUCACCACCCUCCUCUGUUUCUGCAACACGAUCAUUUUUGUCGUGUCAGAGCUUUACGAAGGGGCCAUCAUGUUGAUAGUCCCUUUGCUUGUAUCCCUCACGAUCAUAAUCACGACCUGCAUUACCCCGUUCGACAUUCACAACCGGUUUAUGAUUUGCCUUAUGACGUUGCUGGUGCUAAUCAUCAACGCAGGUAUGGCCACAGCGUUGUACUUCAGCUCCGACUACCGACUAUCGACCCUCAUUAUGAUCAGCAGCUGCCUGACGGUGGGCUCCUAUUAUUUCCUCUACGGCAGCCUCUACGCACUCAGGUACAAGUUUGACGGCGUUCACGUAAGCGAGUGGAUAGUACCUGCAAUGCUUUUCUACACCGGCGGACUCCUCCUGCUCUACCACAAACUAUACCAGCUUUUGUGCAUUAUCUGCAGAAUAGACGACAAUUGGUAUUAUUAAUCUAAUAUGAAUUUAUAAAUCAUUAAAAAAUGGAAUAACGAGUAAUUAAAUUGCUUUUACGACACAUGUUUUUUGCUUCCGAACAACCGAAGGUAGGGAAGCCUUAUAUUCAUGCAGGAAGUGGACACAAUUUUUAUCCUCCAAAAUCAAAAUUUCCACUAGCAUUUUGUAACCGGAAAAACUCCAAAACCAUGAGACCAAUUGUUAUAAAAUUUUCGGAGAUUGAACGGGUUGGUUUUUAGAUGACCCCGUAUAAAUUUCAUCCUAAUUUGAUCAACAGCCUGUACAUGCGCGAACGUAAAAUCCUGUACACAGUUUUGUUUCCAAAAGCAUUAAACGGAUUUUGAUGAAAUUAGCAGGGAUUAUGCGAGUUGGUUUCCAGAUUGUCCUGUAUGAAUUUUAUACCAAUCUGAUUAACCUUGCUUUGACCAUACACAAACGUAAAAUCACGUACACAUCUAUAUCUACAAAAGCAUUGGUCGGAUUUUAUGAAAUUUUCAAGGAUUAUGGGGGUGCUAUCUAAGAUGAUCCCUGAUUAAUUUUAUACCAAUCGGAUUAACAUAUGAGAUUUCGCAUGCGCAAUCGUUAAAGUUCACAGCUUUAUCUCUGAAACCAUACACGGAUUUUGAUGACAUUUGCAGGGAUUAUGCGAGUUGGUUUCCGGAUAGUCCCCUAUGAAUUUCAUCGCAAUCGUAUCAAUUGUAACACCUGCGCAUGCUCAAACGUACAAUCCGUACAUAACUAGUCUGGGCAACCUGCUGGAGUUCCCAACAUACACCAUUUUUACGGAUGGUAGUAAGAUAGGUGAAUCUGUGAGUUGCUCUGCUGAGGUAUACCACGAAAACGGAAAUGCCAUAUGCACGCUAAGUACCGUUUGGCAGCGUGGUUCAAACAACCAGGCAUUAAUUCUGGCGUUCAUGCAUGCAACAAAAUGGUUCUUAGAGACUCAGAAAAACCAUCUGGUUCCAGCUACGAACUCUGCUUUGAUAGACACAAAUAAUGCGGUAACAUUGGACAUGCACAUGGAGACGUGGAGAAAAUUCGUGCAACGCUUAGGAAAUGUCCGGCUGAAUUGGGAUGGCAGGUCGGAAUGCUGUAUUAAAGCACACGCUGGAAACGAUGACAACGUAAUGGCAGAUAGGAUGGCAAAGGAUGAAAUCUUGCCAAUUAUCUACUCCCGGGUACCAAUAACCUAUGUGAAAUUUUGGGCUAAUCGGAAGUCGGGAAAAUGAGUGGGGGAGGUGACAAAAGGAAUCCAAAUUUGUCUACUGAUACAUGACAUCUUAGACUUGGUUGUAAGUUCAAAGGAGAGAACAGGGCAAAAUCUAAAGUUCGAGGUGAAGUAAAAACUUCUCGUUCUGGUCCUCUAAUGCAAGCUGUUAGCAUUUUUAUGUCAAUCUUCAACUGAAUAACACGUCUAACAACACGAGGAAAAGUACAUUGGGAAAAUUCCAACUUCACCAGAUUUAAUUCACCGAGCCCAUAUGAGGAUUUUUUCAACUAGAAUAUUUUAUAUAUUUUCUUUAACUUUUAAGAUAUUGCAUAUGGUGUUUUAACUUAGUUUUAUUUUGUUUUACAAUCAAAUCAGCUUUCAAUUUAUUACCACCAGUAAUGCAGUUGUCAUCGAAGGAAGAACGCAAUUCAAUAAUGAGGCGACGGUCGAGAAAGCUAUUUUUGAAGGCGUACAUCAUCCACUCCUUGCAGAACAUGUUUUGGACAAGUCUCAGCUUGUUUUUCAUCCUUCAGAAAGACGUCAUGAAAACUUUCCGUAUUUAUUACUGGUUGGCGUUGAUCUCCCUGGGAUUUUUCAUCACCGCCACGUUAUUGCUUGCCUGCUCGUAUAAGUACAGGCAGAUGUUCCCUUUGAACAUGUUCAUCCUCAUCAUAUUAACGAUGGCCCUCGGGUUUUGUUUUGCCAUCUUGUUUACGCUGAUCAACGAGGUCUGGGUCGUGAUAUACUUUUUGACUGCCCUGUCUGCAGCACCGAUCAUCAUCACAAUCGCCUUCCCUUUCUUCUCUUUCAACCUACAGAAGGAUAACAUCUACUACUUGUUUGUCACCGUGACCGUAUUAUUCCACAUUAUCGGAAUUACUGUAAUGGCCACACUGACUGGAGUUAAAUGGCCGUACUUCGCCAAUGCCAUAGUAGUCAACAUAUCCAUGUCACUCUACUCCUUCUCUGUUAUUAAAAUGGCAGCUGCUGGUAAUAUUGAGCCCAUCGGGCAGUCCGGCGUCGUCCAUUUGAUUCUGCUCCUAUUCAUAAUUCAUUGGCUGAUGUUUUCCUUCCGGUGCCAAGUGUUGGCUAACUUCUGCAAACCCAAAUAGGAAUAAAACAAAAUAUAUCGUCAAAAAAAAAUCCAGCGUUAAUUUUUGUAUUUCAGCCUGUUAGAAAAUAAGAAAAAGUUAAAUUAAAGACUAACCCAAAAACACGUGAUACAUUCACAAAUUGCCAUCAUAAUAAAACAUAACAUAAAGACUUCGCAACUGUGAAUUGACCUUUAAGUAGAGAGUCAAAAAUAAGUCUUUUUAUGAAGUACUCAUGUCGCCAUUAUAUAUUUACUUUUAACUGGGGUCUUCACUGUUCGAACUAACUUAUUUCUUUUAAGCAUUCUCAGACUUUUUUUCCAGGGCGUACGUUCAAGUAGUAGAAAGCGGCGUUGGCUAGUGUGAUCACCGUCCUUUGAUAGGUCAAUGACUGGCAAAGCUGCAGAUUGACGUCAAGAGUUAGGAGCUGGGUACUUACUUCACACUAGUCUCACAUAGAUUUUAAAUCGUCUAUACACGGUUGAAUAUAUAGUAAUCCAUUCAGAGCUUAUUCCAAGUUUUAAAUAGUAGAAAGCGGUAUUGAUUGGUAUGAUCGUCCGUAUUUGAUAGGUCAAAGGUUGGUAAAGUGAGCUGUAGGUUGACCUAGACAAGAUUUAGAUACUGAAUAUGACCAGUCUCCAAAUGGAUGUUAAAAACCGUCCAACAACAGCUGAAUAUCUGACAAAUCGUUCAGGGGGCUUAUUCCAAGUUCAAGGGUUGGAAAGCGGUAUUGACUGGUCUGAUUGUCCGUCUUCCUUUCAUAGAGCUUUAUCUCUUACCUUGCCUCAUACCUGGUGCCUUCCAGUGCUUGAGGUUUUCUUUCUCCAGCUCCAACUUUAGCACAAUCUCUCGGUGCCUGGUUGUCGUUCCAGACAUAUGGGUGAGAGGGCUGCCCCUUCUUUGGCUAGUUGGCUUCCUUCUGUACCCACCUCAAGGUAAUGUUGAGUUUUCCUAUGGGCAAUUUAGUUACUCCCGGGCUAGUCUGAUGAGUAAAGCAAACAUGUUUAAUGUUUUGAUAGCCAUCCGAUUGCCUGAAAGUAUGAAAAUAUGUACACCUAUUUCUUCUUUAUAUGAUCCUGUACAAUCCUUGGACCUCAACUUGUAAGAUAGUUCGAAUCAGUGUUGCUAGAGUGUAAUUUUGCCCCUUUACCCUUACACCCUGUUCUAUCUUGGAUACAUCAGUGUACCAUAUUAAGACCUUUCCUGGCACUUGGGGUUGCUUUCUUCCAAAGUUCAGGUACUGACAGGAAUAUAACCUCAUUUAUUUUAAUUGUUCUCAGAAUGUUGACAUUGCUUCUUCUUAGAUCUGGUUUUAUUUCUUUGUUCAUAUCUCCGUAGUUUGCUAGCACUCUCAAGAAAGCCACCCCUUAACAUGAAUGUGUAAAAGUGGGUGAUCGAGUGUUGUUUCCAUAGCUAUUACGGAACAAGUAUGAGCAGCAAUCACCGCUGCUAUGUUAAGAGUCUACUCUUUAUAUGUUUUACUAUCCUUAUCUAUCCUCACAUAGUGUGCUCCAUAUGUGACCUACCAUCCGUUAUAGUGUAUGACCAAUACAAUUGAUACAAUAGGGGUUGAUUCCACAGAUUCUGCUGCUGUAGAGCCUUAGCCUUAUGUAGUACGUUGCUUAUAUGACUUCUCCACAUAAGCCUUCGGUCAAGGGUUAUACCUAGGUGCUUAGUUUCUUUGGAGGUUAUGUCUUCAUAUUAAAGCGAGGUCUUUCAGAUUUAGCUGCAAACAAGUUUUUAGGGUUGAUAUGUAACACCCAUUUUCUAAGAAUAUCUUUCUACGAUGUUUAGUGCAGUUUACAUCUGUUUCGACAGUAUCAUCAAAUUUUCCAUUUUUGAUUGGCUAACAGGUCAUCUAUGUAUGAUGACCUGUUUUAAGCUUCAUGAUUAGGUGAUGUACUAAUAGCAUAGAAGUGACAUUAGUACCCCUUCUAGAUGCCAUAAAUUUUUAGGAUAGUGGUCAUAAAGAAAGGGCCUGAUCAGAAUGUGGGAGAUCCUUUUGUUCAAGAGUCUUUUUUCCAAUGUCUUUGAUUCUUGUAUCCUGGUGGAAAAUGACUUUGUUUUAUGUUCCUAAUGUGUUUAGCUUGGUUUUUCAAUUCAGAACUAUUUAAUUACAUCCAAAAUUCAUGUUUGCUUGGCUGUCUGACAUAUAUUUGUUUGCGUUCAGAUUACACUGCUUGAACUUCAACUUUACAUUGGUUUUAUUUUAAUUUCAUGUAUUUUUAAUAUCGUUCGUGUUUUGAUUUAAGCAAAAAUAAAUAUGUGGAUUUACAACGUCAUACUUGAAGAACUGUUCCUGCUGAAUGGUUAGAACAUUUAGUCUUGGCUUUUCUAGAGCAUGUACAACUUAUGUGUCAAAAAUGUUUUUUGAUUUAAAAAGAAAUACGUACGAAAUCAUCAUUAUUUGCAGCUUGCUUGUACAUUCUUCUGUGUACUUAAUUCUGUAGUUCAUGGCAUCCCCACUGUGUUCAGUUUAUUUAUGUUUGUUACCUUCUCGCUUCUCCUGCUUGUUCACUCAUCACUGAUCAAAAGAAAACAUGUCAUCAGAGGAAGAGGAUUAUAUGUCUGAAGCUCUUUUAAAGACUUGCAGACAUCAGGCCAGGCCUCAUACACAACCGGAGCGAAAAAAGGAGCCUGGAAGUAUCGAAGAAACGUCAGCUCGAGGAAGAGGCCAGGAGGAAGAAACCGUUGAGGGUCGUAGAAAAUGAGAACAGGGCAGAAGGCCUCGAUACGCCAAUCGCUCCAAACAACAAAGGGUUCGAGAUGCUAAAAAAGAUGGGGUUCAACCCUGGAAGUGGCCUCGGUGCGAAAG